GCAGCCUAUGAUGAAGCGAUCUCCCACUGGUGUUCGAGUUUCCCAACUAUGAGACAACUCUACAUGCACUACCAUCUGAGGCUGG
rfam:Cricetulus griseus cell line CHO-K1, whole genome shotgun sequence.